GACGAACGCUGGCGGCGUGCUUAACACAUGCAAGUCGAACGGAGCGAAUGAAAGCUUGCUUUUAUGAGCUUAGUGGCAAACGGGUGAGUAACACGUAGACAACCUGCCGACAGGAUGGGGACAACAUUCCGAAAGGAAUGCUAAUACCGAAUGAAGCGGAUGGGAGGCAUCUCCUAUCCGUGAAAGAUGGCCUCUUUUAAUGCUAUCACCUGUCGAUGGGUCUGCGUCUGAUUAGCUAGUUGGUGAGGUAACGGCUCACCAAGGCGACGAUCAGUAGCCGGUCUGAGAGGAUGAACGGCCACAUUGGGACUGAGACACGGCCCAGACUCCUACGGGAGGCAGCAGUGGGGAAUCUUCCGCAAUGGGCGCAAGCCUGACGGAGCAACGCCGCGUGAGUGAAGAAGGUCUUCGGAUCGUAAAGCUCUGUUGACGGGGACGAACGUGCAAAGGGUGAAUAAUCCUUUGCAAUGACG
rnacentral:rRNA from 1 species